rnacentral:rRNA from 1 species
CCCAAUACUGAUUCGGUGAGGUAGUGACAAGAAAUACCAAUAUAGGACCCAACGGGUACUAUGUUUGGAAUGAGUACAAUUUAAAAACCUUAACGAGGAACAAUUGGAGGGCAAGUCUGGUGCCAGCAGCCGCGGUAAUUCCAGCUCCAAUAGUGUAUAUUAAAGUUGCUGCGGUUAAAAAGCUCGUAGUUGGAUUUCGGAGUUGUUAUCUGAACCUUCUCGCCCUAAAAAGUGGGGGGGCUAAGGUAGCAGUAGUUUUCAUCAUAGUCCAUCAGGAUACUCUCUUGAUGUGUACUGGUGUUAACCUCUUUUUUCUGGUACUUGCUAUCCAGCAAUGGGUAGUUUUGUCCAGAUAGUUUACUUUGAAAAAUUAGAGUGUUCAAAGCAGGCAUAAUUGGCAUCAUGAAUACAUUAGCAUGGGAUAAUAGAAUAUGACAUUGGUCUUA